rnacentral:rRNA from 1 species
GGGGUACACGAGUGGCGAACGGGUGAGUAACACGUGGGUGAUCUGCCCUGCACUUCGGGAUAAGCCCGGGAAACUGGGUCUAAUACCGGAUAGGACUGCGCGGUGCAUGCCGUGUGGUGGAAAGAUUUAUCGGUGCAGGAUGGGCCCGCGGCCUAUCAGCUUGUUGGUGGGGUAAUGGCCUACCAAGGCGACGACGGGUAGCCGGCCUGAGAGGGCGACCGGCCACACUGGGACUGAGACACGGCCCAGACUCCUACGGGAGGCAGCAGUGGGGAAUAUUGCACAAUGGGCGCAAGCCUGAUGCAGCGACGCCGCGUGAGGGAUGACGGCCUUCGGGUUGUAAACCUCUUUCAGCAGGGACGAAGCGCAAGUGACGGUACCUGCAGAAGAAGCACCGGCCAACUACGUGCCAGCAGCCGCGGUAAUACGUAGGGUGCAAGCGUUGUCCGGAAUUACUGGGCGUAAAGAGCUCGUAGGCGGUUUGUCGCGUCGUCUGUGAAAACCAGCAGCUCAACUGUUGGCUUGCAGGCGAUACGGGCAGACUUGAGUAUUUCAGGGGAGACUGGAAUUCCUGGUGUAGCGGUGAAAUGCGCAGAUAUCAGGAGGAACACCGGUGGCGAAGGCGGGUCUCUGGGAAAUAACUGACGCUGAGGAGCGAAAGCGUGGGUAGCGAACAGGAUUAGAUACC